rnacentral:sRNA from 1 species
ACCUGACUAAAAGAAUUGGAAAAAAAAGUAUUCCGCUGCCGGGGUUUGAACCCGGAUUUCAUGACAUUGAAAUUAACCGAUGUGCUACAGCGGAUCUGUUGAAUAUAUUUCCAUUCAAUUAGUACAUAGACUAUAGAAAAAAUAAGUGUGUUCUAACAAUUAAGACAAGAGAC